GGAGACGUGGCCGAGUGGUCGAAGGCGCACGCCUGGAAAGUGUGUAAAGGGGUAACUCUUUCGUGGGUUCGAAUCCCACCGUCUCCGCCA
rnacentral:tRNA from 1 species